GGAGAUGUAUCGAAGUGGUCGUAACGAGAACGACUCGAAAUCGUUUUGUCCUUAACCGGGCACGUGGGUUCGAAUCCCACCAUCUCCGCCA
rnacentral:tRNA from 7 species